AAGCAGCACCUAUAUUUAGUCGAUAUCAUUUACACAUAAUUAAUCCUUUUCUAGCACACAAUAGAACAAAAGUAUGAACGUAACUGUUUUUUACUCCAACUGGUUGUGUUUGCAUAUGUGUUUAGUGUUGUAGGGACGUUGUAUGCCAAAGUUUGGUACUUAUAGGUUGUACGAAACCGAGGUACAGACCAAAUAUGGGUGUUUCUUGUGGGCACCGUAAUAACAC
rnacentral:lncRNA from 1 species